GACGGAGGGUGCUAGCGUUGUUCGGAAUUACUGGGCGUAAAGGGCGCGUAGGCGGCUGCUCAAGUCCUGUGUGAAAGCCCCGGCCUCAACUGGGGAGGGUCACGCGAUACUGAUCGACUCGAAGGCAGGAGAGGGAAGUGGAAUUCCCGGUGUAGUGGUGAAAUGCGUAGAUAUCGGGAGGAACACCAGUGGCGAAGGCGACUUCCUGGCCUGUUCUUGACGCUGAGGCGCGAAAGCUAGGGUAGCAAACGGG
rnacentral:rRNA from 1 species